AUACGGAGGGGGCUAGCGUUGUUCGGAAUUACUGGGCGUAAAGCGCGCGUAGGCGGCUUUGUAAGUCGGAUGUGAAAGCCCUGGGCUCAACCUGGGAAUUGCACUCGAUACUGCAGAGCUAGAGUAUGGUAGAGGGAAGUGGAAUUUCCGGUGUAGCGGUGAAAUGCGUAGAUAUCGGAAGGAACACCAGUGGCGAAGGCGACUUCCUGGAUCAAGACUGACGCUGAGGUGCGAAAGCGUGGGGAGCAAACAGGAUUAGAAACCCCAGUAGUCC
rnacentral:rRNA from 1 species